AGCUGGGUGGGCACUGAGUAUUGAUAGCUCAGACCCCUGAACAGAAGGUCACAGGGUAUGGUGAAGUGUAUCUGUCAUUCCAGCACUUCCCACACAAAAGCAGGAGGACCAAGUUUAUGGUUCUUCUUAACUGAAUAGUGAGUUUGAAGCCAGCCUAGCCAACAUAGCAGAGAGCAGACUACGGAGACAUGCCAGAGCAAUGGAAACCAGAAAUGAGGUAACUGGAGUGUCCGUGUUGAGAGCC
rnacentral:lncRNA from 1 species